rnacentral:rRNA from 1 species
CAUGACGAACGCUGGCGGCGUGCUUAACACAUGCAAGUCGAACGGAAAGGCCCUGCUUUUGUGGGGUGCUCGAGUGGCGAACGGGUGAGUAACACGUGAGUAACCUGCCCUUGACCUUGGGAUAACUUCAGGAAACUGGGGCUAAUACCGGAUAGGAGCUCCUGCUGCAUGGUGGGGGUUGGAAAGUUUCGGCGGUUGGGGAUGGACUCGCGGCUUAUCAGCUUGUUGGUGGGGUAGUGGCUUACCAAGGCUUUGACGGGUAGCCGGCCUGAGAGGGUGACCGGCCACAUUGGGACUGAGAUACGGCCCAGACUCCUACGGGAGGCAGCAGUGGGGAAUAUUGCACAAUGGGCGGAAGCCUGAUGCAGCAACGCCGCGUGCGGGAUGACGGCCUUCGGGUUGUAAACCGCUUUCGCCUGUGACGAAGCGUGAGUGACGGUAAUGGGUAAAGAAGCACCGGCUAACUACGUGCCAGCAGCCGCGGUGAUACGUAGGGUGCGAGCGUUGUCCGGAUUUAUUGGGCGUAAAGGGCUCGUAGGUGGUUGAUCGCGUCGGAAGUGUAAUCUUGGGGCUUAACCCUGAGCGUGCUUUCGAUACGGGUUGACUUGAGGAAGGUAGGGGAGAAUGGAAUUCCUGGUGGAGCGGUGGAAUGCGCAGAUAUCAGGAGGAACACCAGUGGCGAAGGCGGUUCUCUGGGCCUUUCCUGACGCUGAGGAGCGAAAGCGUGGGGAGCGAACAGGCUUAGAUACCCUGGUAGUCCACGCUGUAAACGGUGGGUACUAGGUGUGGGGUCCAUUCCACGGGUUCCGUGCCGUAGCUAACGCUUUAAGUACCCCGCCUGGGGAGUACGGCCGCAAGGCUAAAACUCAAAGGAAUUGACGGGGCCCCGCACAAGCGGCGGAGCAUGCGGAUUAAUUCGAUGCAACGCGUAGAACCUUACCUGGGUUUGACAUGGAUCGGGAGUGCUCAGAGAUGGGUGUGCCUCUUUUGGGGUCGGUUCACAGGUGGUGCAUGGCUGUCGUCAGCUCGUGUCGUGAGAUGUUGGGUUAAGUCCCGCAACGAGCGCAACCCUUGUUCACUGUUGCCAGCACGUUAUGGUGGGGACUCAGUGGAGACCGCCGGGGUCAACUCGGAGGAAGGUGGGGAUGACGUCAAGUCAUCAUGCCCCUUAUGUCCAGGGCUUCACGCAUGCUACAAUGGCUGGUACAGAGAGUGGCGAGCCUGUGAGGGUGAGCGAAUCUCGGAAAGCCGGUCUCAGUUCGGAUUGGGGUCUGCAACUCGACCUCAUGAAGUCGGAGUCGCUAGUAAUCGCAGAUCAGCAACGCUGCGGUGAAUACGUUCCCGGGGCUUGUACACACCGCCCGUCAAGUCAUGAAAGUUGGUAACACCCGAAGCCGGUGGCCUAACCGUUGUGGGGGAGCCGUCGAAGGUGGGACUGGU